AUUGAACGCUGGCGGCAGGCCUAACACAUGCAAGUCGAACGAGUGGCGGACGGGUGAGUAAUGUCUGGGAAACUGCCUGAUGGAGGGGGAUAACUACUGGAAACGGUCGCUAAUACCGCAUACCAUCGGAUGUGCCCAGAUGGGAUUAGCUAGUAGGUGGGGUAAAGGCUCACCUAGGCGACGAUCCCUAGCUGGUCUGAGAGGAUGAUCAGACACACUGGAACUGGGAAACGGUCCAGACUCCUACGGGGGGCAGAAGUGGGGAAUAUUGGACAAUGGGCGAAAGCCGGAUGCAGCCAUGCCGCGUGUGUGAAGAAGGUCUUCGGAUUGAAAAGCACUUUAAGUUGGGCGGCGUUACCAGCAGAAUAAGCACCGGCUAACUUCGUGCCAGCAGCCGCGGUAAUAC
rnacentral:rRNA from 1 species